GGGCAGGCGGAGCGGCGGGGCCGGGCCGGGCUGAGGGGCCGCGGGACGAGGGUCGGAGGAGGGCGGUGUGUCCAGCCUCCUGUGAAAUGCUGAAGGGCAAACCUGGAGAAGGGAUGAAAUCCCUCAGCUCUUAUCCCAGCAGGGAGGAACUGGGGAGCAGUUGGUGUGGUGCCAUCUCAGCCCAGCUCUGGGGGGUUGGGUUACCCAAAGGUUGGGAUGAAGCUGGAGAGCUGGAAAUAUCCAGAUGUGAAGAUCCAGGGUAGCUGCUGCUUUCACUUCCCCAUCUUCAGAAGGUGAGUAGAGGUGGGUUCCCUCUGCUUUGGUUCCUGACUAAUCAUUUCAAUACCUGGCUUUAGGUGCAGGUGAUAGAGCAGCCCCAGGGAUCUCUUGGGAAGACUGAGGAAUUCCUGAUCCAGUUCGAUGUCUCUGGGUUGGGUUAUUCCCACAAGGGCACUUUUCCUGUGGGAUAACUGGGAAUGGCUGCUGUUUGCUGGCUGGGUUUUUGGGCAGAGCCUGAUCCUUGUUAGGCUGGGUCUGAGCAGGGCUUGGAGCCUGAAUUGUUGUGUCACCAGGCUGAACUUGUUCCUGGCCUGGUGCAGUGAGUGAGGUGCAAACAGGGCAGUGCAGACUUGGAGCCAGAGGAAGGAGCUGCAAGGCACAGGAUUUAAUGCAGUGGGAGUUCUGUGGAGCCUGGACCAGCAACAAGCCUGACCCAAAUUUUUGAGUCUUCCCUUCUGCAUAAAACUCUCCAGUGGCCUUGGGACACUUCAGAAACCAGCCCAAGAGCAGCAAAUGUAUUUAAUGCACACUCUGUGCUGCUGAAAGGGGGCUUUGUCUGCAGAAUGACUUUGUAUUUUCUACUUUUGCAUUAAAGAAAACUAUUACUGAGCUGCAGCACAUCAGGAGGAUGAGUUUGGAGGGAGGGGUGGGUUUAUUUUAUUUUAGAGCUGAGUGGACACUGAGCUGAGCCUAAACAAAUGCCUGCGUGGGGAAUCCUGGCCCUGCAGGUCUGCAGACACCACCAGCUGUGGGUGGGUGGCUUGGGGUGUUCCGUGGGCCUGAGCAGAAUCCGUGGGCCUGAGCAGAAUCCAUGGGCUCUUCCCUGGGGCUCUGGCAGCAGACACAGAGUGGAGCCUGUGUUUCCUGGCAUCAGGAGCAAGGUCAGCCCAGCCUGGCCUACAUCUUUCCUUUUUUUAAAUUGUGAUGGAAAAAAAAAGAAAAGAUCCAGGCUGAUUUUUGCUGAAAGCAGAGGUUUUUCACUUGGUUCCAGCUGAUUAUGGCCCCACUUCCUGGUCCCCUCCCUCCCCUGGGUCUCAUAGGAUAAUCUAAUUAUUAAACAGCUCCAAUAAAAGCACAUCUUGCCCUGGCAGGAAUAAAGCCUAUUGAUAGGCAGGAUAUUUUUGUGCCACCCUCGCCCUGUCCCUGCCAAAAUGGGUUAUUUUUUUGGAUUUGUGGUCUGCUCCUUUAAUACAUUCCUUCCAGUCUAGGCAGAGCUCUCCAACUGCCUGGCACUGGAGUUAAUUCCUCGCUUCCCAAUCAAUCCAAUCUGCUCCUGAAGGAGAACUCUGCUCACAUUGCCCAGCCCGGUGACACAAACCCUCCCAGGUGGAGGAAACAUUUGUCACCCAGGAGGGCCCUGAAGUGGGAAGGGAAGGUGGAACCUGAUCCUUUUUGGCACUUUCCAUGGGCAGCUCUUCUCCAUCCGACUCUGGGUGACCAUUCCCAGCCUUUGGAGCUCAGCUUCCAGCUGGCAGGAACGUCUCGGACACAGGAAGAGGUUGUAGGGUGUUAAAAACAGGUUGUAUGAGAAGCUGUGGGGUCCCAGCAGUGGGAGGAGGAGGAGGAGGAUGCAGCAGCAGGGCUUGUGUCUGUUCCCGAAACUCCCACUGUUUUCACUGCAGGCAUGACCAGACUGUGAAAUAGCUUGGCUGGGCUGGUGAAUAAUCUCUGAGGCUCUUUUAAUAAACUGCAGUUUUAUUUA